rnacentral:lncRNA from 1 species
AUAUGCUUGAUACAUUUUGGAGACAUCAUCAGGACAGGUUUGUCUGUAACAAAGUGAAGAAGAAGAAGAAUGAAAGAAAAUGAGGAUCAUAGAAGUAGUCAGGAUUGUGUCCUAGCUGGGGCACUCUGGCAGCCCAGAGGGAGCUCGUCCCAGACAACCAAGAGGAAAAGAGGGGGAGCGAGAAAGAGACAGAGACCCACCAUCGUGGC